UAGAAUGCUGAGAAAAGAAGAGUAAGAAAUUAACCUCAUGUGCAGAGACUUCCGGAAGCUGAAAAGGAAGCUUGAGCGUAUUUCCCAACAUGGCCUUGGAGCAGCGGAAUUGAAUUGGCGAAACAGCGCCUUUAAAUUUCGACGGUUACACCCGUUAUCGUGUCAGACUGUUAUUAAGUAACCAUAAGAUCUUAGGGGGAUUUUAUGGAACAAACGCAGCCGGUAAGGUCUGUACUGUAAGGUACGGAUAAAUUAAAGUGGUAACACGGGACAGUUCCCCGUCUUUAAA
rnacentral:ncRNA from 1 species